GGGGUUGUAGCUCAGUGAUAGAGCACUCGCCUGGCAUGGCGUGAGGCACUGGGUUUGAUCCUCAGCACUACA
rnacentral:tRNA from 1 species